rnacentral:lncRNA from 1 species
GUUUGAGGUCUUGUAAGGGAAACUGAAGGGAAUUGUGUAUUGAACAGGAUGGCUUAGACCUGCUCAACUUCUGAGAAUUGAGGCAAAGUGGGCAAUCCAGAUGUAUCACUUGACUUUCUGACUACUGGAAGAAUUUCCCUUCAUUAUUGCACACCAGGGGUAUCCCACAGAUUCAGAGGAUACAUGUGCAGGUUUAUUACAUGGAUAUACUGUGUUAAUAGUGAGUUUGGGUUAGUGUUACAAGAACUGGUGUUGCUGAGGAGAUGAUCACUGAACUUGGAUGUCAAUGAUCAAAGUCAACAGAUACGGGGGGCAGGGGUUAUGAUGGAGGCUACACAAAGUAGAAUAUCUAAAAUGGAACUAAAACUUGGAAUUAAAAUAUGAACAAAAUACAGACUUAUGAAAAUAACAUAUAUGUAUAUCAGAGGAAGAUACAUU